CUGCUUCCAUUUUUAUGAGUGCCUAGCAUCAAGGGAAACAAGCAUUCAUACUUCCAUACAAUUAGAGGCCACACAGGAUGUUAAUAAGCCAAAAUGGGGUAUUUGAUUGACAUGAAUGGAGUUAUGAAAGUUACAAAGUAACAUCUGAAUAGGACCAUCUUACAUAGAGCAGUUUGCAUAGUUACAUAGAUCAGUUUGCUCUGAACUACAGAAUUGCCAAGGCGAGGGAAACAAUGUCAGGGCCCCGGCUUGAACUCAAUAAUCCUAAAAUAUUCAGAUCCAAUCCUAAAUGGGGAGAAAUCCUUAAAUAAGUACUUUUUCAUCAUUAGUUGCUUCUACUUCCUUAAUUUCUUUGGUUUUUUUUUUUUAAUUCCUUAUGUCAUCAUCAGUUUUAUAUUAAUAAAAUCAUGGAAAAUAAUACAUAUGUCAGAAAGUGCAACUCCUUUGGGUCUCUAUUAAUAAAUUAAAAAGAAAAUUUUCAUCUAACACGUAAUAAAAGAAAAAGGAAAUGAAUAUGGUUUGCUAAAUCAACUUUAAAUGCAAAACAGAGUAAUAAAUGCAUCAGAAGACAUUGAAACUAAUGCCACCUGCUGUCUGGAUAUUUUGUUGG
rnacentral:misc_RNA from 1 species